GAGAGUGACGGUAUCCAUAAUCCUUCUGGACUUAGAUACUCUUGCUGCACCCUUUGCUUUGUGGAGUAAGUUAAGUUUAUUGUUUCUGCAGCUUAAAUACCAUGAUAUUGAUCGAGAGAAAGACUGUCUACCACAAGUAGGCCAGUGGAAUAUGAUGAACAAGGUAACUGAUAUUAGCUUGGUUGAGAUUCAUCAUGGUAUUGGUGUUCAAAAAGCAGUUUGUUACCCAUUCAAGACGCUAUGUAUGUUACAUCUUACUUCCAGUAAAACUUGGGAUAAUAUAGCUGGAUUUGAACAAGGAAAGGGUUGUGGUGAUGGGUCGGCACUCAAAAGACAAUAAGGAGUAAUCAAUGAAACAAUUUGGGAGUGGAUGAGAGUUAUGGAUGGAUUCCAGUUUUCGUUCAUAGUUUCCUUUUUCUCUGAAGUAUAAGUCUUUUGCUCUGUUCUGGGUCAAUCUUCAGUGAAUGAUGGAGCUAACCAUAAGAAUUAUAAAAAUGGAUAACGGAGGAGCGGUGAACAACUGGAUCUGUAUAAACUUUUCUCGCAAUGUGCAAGACAGUGUUGCACGUGGAUUUUGUUCCGAGCUUGCACAAAUGUGCAUAAUAUUGGGCAUGACCUACAACCCCAAUCCUGUUCUACCACCUGUGAGUGCUCGCUCGCCCUGAUCGAGUUGAGAGAGUCUUGAAAACUUGAUUUCAUGAUGCUAUGACAAAGUUGCAGCCGAGUGGGAGGGAGCUAGAUCUUUUGAUUGUCAUAUUGUUGCCUGACAAUAAUGGCUCCCUUUAUGGUACAGGCCAAGAAUAGUGAAAUUCAUAUGGCGCUUCUUUGCGAAUUCCUGGAAAUUGCUACAGCUUAAAUAUUUUGUUUCUUUUUCCAGGUGAUCUGAAACGGAUUUGUGAAACUGAUCUUGGCAUUGUCUCACAGUGCUGCUUGACAAAACAUGUAUUUAAGAUGAGCAAGCAGUAUUACCUUAUAGUUUACAUCUAGUUACUUUUUUUUUUUCACAAACUUCUCAGGUCCAUCUCUACUUCCCUUUUCUUCACCCACUAAAGUCAAUCUCUCACUCAUCCUCAUUGAAACAUCUCUGCUUCUUUCCGAUUUUCACAUGGUCGAAUCAUCUCAGCCUCAUCUUGCUCAUUUUGCCCACCGCUCGAGGGCUAUUUCUGCCUUACUUUGGUUAGUCUUGUUCCUGAUCAUAUCUUUCCUAGCAUGCCUACACAUUCUCAUUUCUGUUACUCUCAUCUUCUGAAUAUGCAAAUUUUUGACUGAUCGAUACCAAACCCCAUACAAUAUUACUAAUCUCACCACCACUUUAAAAAUUUUACCUUUAAAAUUUAGCAACAAAUUCUUAUCACACGGAACAUCAAAUGCAACCUUUCCGGUCAUCGACGCAAUACCAUAGCUAAUCUUCCCAUUUUCUUAGAUUGUUGAUCCCAAUAUAGAACGUAAUACAA